GACGAACGCUGGCGGUGUGCUUAACACAUGCAAGUCGAACGGUAAGGCCCUUUCGGGGGUACACGAGUGGCGAACGGGUGAGUAACACGUGAGUAACCUGCCCUCAUCUCUGGGAUAACAGUCGGAAACGGUUGCUAAUACUGGAUAUGAGCUUGCAAGGCAUCUUGUGGGUUGGAAAGAUUUUUUUGGUUGGGGAUGGACUCGCGGCCUAUCAGCUUGUUGGUGAGGUAGUGGCUCACCAAGGCUUCGACGGGUAGCCGGCCUGAGAGGGCGACCGGCCACAUUGGGACUGAGAUACGGCCCAAACUCCUACGGGAGGCAGCAGUGGGGAAUAUUGCACAAUGGACGGAAGUCUGAUGCAGCAACGCCGCGUGCGGGAUGACGGCCUUCGGGUUGUAAACCGCUUUCAAUUGUGACGAAGCUUUUUGUGGCGGUAGCAGUAGAAGAAGCACCGGCUAACUACGUG
rnacentral:rRNA from 1 species